CUAGGGGGUGGCGGCGAAGCUGAUGCAGCAACGCCGCGUGAGUGAUGAAGGCCUUCGGGUUGUAAACUUCUUUUAUCCGGGACGAUAAUGACCGUACCUGAAGAAUAAGCCCCGGCUAACUUCGUGCCAGCAGCCGCGGUAAUAAAUA
rnacentral:rRNA from 1 species